rnacentral:rRNA from 1 species
GUAGGGAAUAUUGCGCAAUGGGGGAAACCCUGACGCAGCGACGCCGCGUGAGUGAUGAAGGCCUUCGGGUCGUAAAGCUCUGUUGCAGGGGAAUAAAAAAAUGAAGGUACCCUGUGAGGAAGGAUCGGCUAACUUCGUGCCAGCAGCCGCGGUAAGACGAGGGAUCCUAGCGUUGCUCGGAAUCAUUGGGCGUAAAGAGGGCGUAGGUGGCUUGGUAAGUCAGGUGUGAAAGCCCAGGGCUCAACCCUGGAAGUGCAUUUGAUACUGCUGAGCUUGAGUGUCGGAGAGGUUACCGGAAUACCUGGUGUAGUGGUGAAAUACGUAGAUAUCAGGUGGAACACCGGAGGCGAAGGCGGGUAACUGGACGUACACUGACACUGAGGCCCGAAAGCGUGGGGAUCAAACAGGAUUAGAAACCCUAGUAGUCC